UACGAAGGGUGCAAGCGUUAAUCGGAAUUACUGGGCGUAAAGCGUGCGCAGGCGGUUUUGCAAGACAGAUGUGAAAUCCCCGGGCUCAACCUGGGAACUGCAUUUGUGACUGCAAGGCUAGAGUACGGCAGAGGGGGAUGGAAUUCCGCGUGUAGCAGUGAAAUGCGUAGAUAUGCGGAGGAACACCAAUGGCGAAGGCAAUCCCCUGGGCCUGUACUGACGCUCAUGCACGAAAGCGUGGGGAGCAAACAGG
rnacentral:rRNA from 1 species